rnacentral:rRNA from 1 species
CCUACGGGAGGCAGCAGUGAGGAAUAUUGGUCAAUGGACGAGAGUCUGAACCAGCCAAGUAGCGUGAAGGAUGACUGCCCUAUGGGUUGUAAGCUUCUUUUAUAUGGGAAUAAAAUGUUCCACGUGUGGGAUUUUGUAUGUACCAUAUGAAUACGGAUCGGCUAACUCCGUGCAAUCAGCCGCGGUAAUACGGUGGAUCCGAGCGUUAUCCGGAUUGAUUGGGUUUAAAGGGAGCGUAGGUGGAUUGUUAAGUCAGUUGUUAAAGUUUGCGGGUCAACCGUAAAAUUGCAGUUGAAACUGGCAGUCUAGAGUACAGUAGAGGUGGGCGGAAUUCGUGGUGUAGCGGUGAAAUGCUUAGAUAUCACGAAGAACUCCGAUUGCGAAGGCAGCUCACUGGGCUGCAACUGACACUGAGGCUCGAAAGUGUGGGUAUCAAACAGGAUUAGAUACCCUUGUAGUC